rnacentral:rRNA from 1 species
GAUUAACGCUGGCGGCGUGCCUAACACAUGCAAGUCGAACGAUGAAACUAAGUAGACUUCUUCGGAAAGACACUAAGCGGCUUAGUGGCGACCGGGUGAGUAACGAGUGAGUAAACUGCCUUAACCAAGGGGAUCGCCUUUGGAUACGAAGAAUAAUACUCUAUAACACCAUAAAAGCAUAAGAUAGGAUGGUCAUAGUGAUAGCGGUGUAAGAUGGACUUACGUCUGAUUAGCUAGUUGGAGGGAUAAACGCUCACCAAGGCAACGAUCAGUAGCCGGCUUGGGGAAGUGUACGGCCACAUUGCGACAGGGACACGUCCCAAAUCCCUACGGGUGGGAGCAGUGGUGAAGUUGGCACAAUGGGGGAAACCCGGAGGCCUCGACGCCGCGUGAUUUUGAAGGCCUGCGGGUUGUAAAAAUCUUGUAUAUAGGAAGAAAAUGACAGUACUAUAUGAAUAAGGUCCGGCUAAUUACGUG